rnacentral:rRNA from 1 species
UACGAAGGGGGCUAGCGUUGUUCGGAAUCACUGGGCGUAAAGGGCGCGUAGGCGGCUGUUCAAGUCGGGGGUGAAAGCCUGUGGCUCAACCCCAGAAUGGCCUUCGAUACUGGACGGCUCGAGACCGGAAGAGGUAAGUGGAACUGCGAGUGUAGAGGUGAAAUUCGUAGAUAUUCGCAAGAACACCAGUGGCGAAGGCGGCUUUCUGGGCCGGUUCUGACGCUGAGGCGCGAAAGCGUGGGGAGCAAACAGG